rnacentral:lncRNA from 10 species
AUGGUAAGGCAUUUCUAUGUUUUAUUUUACUUUGUCUUUAUCCUAAAAUGCCAUUGGCAAGUUUAUUGCAGGGAACUGACAAGAUCACAUUUUGAGAAGAAGUUGGAAAGAAUCCCAAGUGGAUGAACUGAAUAUCUGGAUGAGGACAAGAUCUGUGGGGAGAGACUGUAAGACCUGUAAAGAGUGAGGGAAGGCUGCCAACAGGCUAAAUUGAGCCGUACUACACACUUUUGUGGCAAGGCUGAGACACUUACAACACUCUUAGAUAGAAUGAGUCCAUUUAAGUCCCAGGACGGUGGAAACUAGCUAGUAGAUUGCAGCCAUGUUGUGGAAGCUGCUGCUGAGAUCCCAGUCCUGCAGGCUGUGUUCUUUCAGAAAGAUGCGAUCACCUCCAAAAUACAGACCUUUCUUAGCAUGCUUCACCUAUACAACUGAUAAACAGUCGAGCAAAGAAAAUACAAGAACAGUGGAAAAGCUCUAUAAAUGUUCAGUUGACAUUAGGAAAAUUCGUAGAUUAAAAGGAUGGGUACUUUUAGAGGAUGAAACCUAUGUUGAAGAAAUUGCGAAUAUUUUACAAGAAC